GAGGAGCCUGCGUCCGAUUAGCUAGUUGGCGGGGUAAAGGCCCACCAAGGCGACGAUCGGUAGCUGGUCUGAGAGGACGACCAGCCACACUGGGACUGAGACACGGCCCAGACUCCUACGGGAGGCAGCAGUGGGGAAUUUUUCGCAAUGGGGGCAACCCUGACGAAGCAAUGCCGCGUGGAUGAAGAAGGCCUUCGGGUUGUAAAGUCCUUUCGUGGGGGACGAAAAGGUGGGUUCUAAUACAAUCUGCUGUUGACGUGAACCCAAGAAGAAGCACCGGCUAACUCCGUGCCAGCAGC
rnacentral:rRNA from 1 species